UCAAUCUGUUCCUCGGACUUCGCCCACCAGGGCCGGGGCCUCCCUGGCGCCGCUGAGCCCCAGGCCCCGCUGAGGGCCUCCCUGCGGGGUCUGCUGCACAGACGAGGUCAGCUGCUCUGCUCUUCUUCUGGGAUCAGAAAUCUGAGGCUCAGCCAAGUUACAAAAUUUGCCCAAAGCCAUUCAGAAAAUGGCAAGCCUGGAAAAUCAUCCCAGGAAGCCAGACUCCACAUGUCUUAUUCCUCGACAUGAAAACCCACUGCCAACAGCAUCAUUGGGUCAGCUCCCCACCUGAACCAUUGGGGAACAGGCAACCAGAGGACAAAGCAGAAGCUGAGGAAAGGGGAGAAUGGUGGGGAAGGGCUUUGACGCCACUUCCGGUGCAUUCUUGCUUUCAGACGGCUGUACAGGUGUCGCAUGAGCAUGUUGUAAGUAGCAAGGAUGGAAAAUGCAAGAAAAUGUGCACGUUGAAAUUGAUGAAAUGGCUUAUAAAAGGAGCACUGAUUACUGAGCUUGGCGAAUUCUCGGGGAAUGCAUAGUUAACUUGGAUCCUGCAAGGUGAGACUCCCCACCAAAAUCAAAGAAUGGAUACAAAGGAGGUGUAAACUGGAUGGAUACAGUGAUCCUAAGAUUCAGAGCGGCUGGCUCACAGCGCCACCUGGCGUCUACAGGCGGGAGACCAGGUGUAGCCUUAAGCGGAAGCUACGGAGAGGCUGGUGCGCAGCUGCAGAUGAAAGGGACCUGCCGGGAGCUCGCCGGUUAUCUGGCUCUGCGGCUUGGACCUGGAUGGAACCACCAUUGGACACUCUGGCGUGACACCUGGAGAGACACCUUCGUCUCCACUCCAGCUCUUCUGCUUGUCUGGGUAUCUGUUGGUGAGUCCAACUUCUGAUCCAGUUCUCUGGACAAGCGUCCGCUGAAGCAUGUUACAGUGCUGUGACUUGCAUAGGAUCAGGCUCAUCACUUGGCUACAGACCCUCACUCGGGACCCUAAGUGUGCGCCCCUGAAGCCCUCAUCUUGACUCCUGACUGAUUGAUCAGAGAUCCACUGGAAAAGUCCCUCAUUCAAGGCCAGACAGCUUGUACCAUACAACAUACCCUCUACGACCAAGUCUCAACGUGUGACUCAACAGGUCCUGAAUGAAAAAAUUUUGACCUUAACGAGAAGUGGACUUGUUGUUAUAAGGAAAGAAGAACGUCUCUUCUUUCUACACAUUAGGAGGAACAGACAAGACUCUGCUUGACCAAACUUCAGUCAGGCUUUGGAUGUUCUCCUAGGCCCAUCUGUGCCCUUCUUCGUAAAAUCCUCAGGAAGAUCCUGUUGCUCAGCACCCCCAGUUCCCCCCACCCCUCCAUAUCUCAUCUCCCUCGAUAUCUAACUAGGCUUCCACUUCUCCAUCAUCCAUCAGCAGGAUUCCUGUAGGUCAGUUCAUCCCAAAUCCUCUUACACUCCAUGUUUCCUCCUCGUAAUUUCCCACUCACUGAACCACCCCAGGCUUCCUGGCUAUAAAUUCCUGCUUGUUCAUGCUGCAAUCAAAAUUGAGCCCAGUUUGAUACUGAAGAAUCUUCUCUUCCAUAGUCCACAAUUAAUUGUUUUUACCACUUGAGCUGGUGUCUGGCUGUGGCUGUCUCUGACAGUUGUCAGAGUCGGUCACCAUAGUCAGCACCCAAACUUCCUUGCUUGCACGUCGAUUCAGGCACGAGGUGCACGCUGUAACCAGGUGGCAGUCCUAACUUCCAUUGAGGGGAAUUACUGUUUCGUCUCUUGAUGGAGGCAUUUCUUCUUUUGGAACUAAGACUUCUAAUUCAGUAGAACGCAAAGUCAUCAGAACAGAAGGCAAAAUUCUGCUACUCUGUCACCAUGGGUGAUGGUAUGUGGUGCCUCUCCCAUCUCCCCCAGAUUCCUGGAUCACCACUUCUCCCUGCGGGAGAAACAGCACCAUGUAUUGGGUUAGAUUAAGAGUGCAUGGCCUCCUGGAAAAUCGUGCCGCAGCCCUGCAACCUGUCACCGCCUUAUGGCUCUCGAACAUCUAAUAAAUACCCUUCUAUGUUCUGUCAACCCAGCUGCUUCACGAUGGCUGAGAAUGUGGUGAGACCAGUGGAUGCCAUGAGCAUGGGCCCAUUGCCACCUUUCUUUUGGGAAGUGAGGGUCUUAGACCCGAGCCAAGCUGAGUGGGACACCGUGACGGUGGGUAAGGCGCCUUCAGACGCAUGGAUGGGCAUUUUGGCAGAAGCAUUGCAUGCAGUUAUAAUGCCAUGACUCGGAAUGAUCCCUGGAGUCCCAGACCCCUCACCCAGGACCUGAAGUAGGAGCCUUGAAAAGCUGAAUAUCAUGGGGAUUCCACCAGGCAUUCCACUGGGAAGUCCAGCUCCUAAACUGUUGGUCCAGACAAAUGUCCUUGGGAGCUGAGAGGGACAAAGUUUGAUUCAUGAGGCUCUGAGUACGUUCUGGAAGCUGGGUUAAAGUUUCAGACAAUCCCAGGGCGAGUUGGAACACAAGGACAGAGCUAGUAACAUUGGAUGUAUCUCUGAGGCUUUGACUGGGUCAUUAUAUUUGAAAAUGACGUGCAUCAAAUCAGAUAUGAUCUGACAGCUUUAAGGACUAAGAUUGACUUGGAGAAGCUAAUGCUUGUGAAGUGCCCCCGAGAAAAACCAGCCUGUACCCAUCUUAUUGGAUUCCCAACUGGACAGAAUCUCCCUUUCUUUAAAUGCCUGAUGACUAGCACCAUCCAGCAAAUACCCACUACUAGCACGCCUCAACAGAUGAUUCAACCAAUCUUUAAUUUAAAAAAAAAGGAACACCUGGAUUAACUAGCAAAUGCCAUAAAGCUGCGGGUCAGAUGGUUGGGCUCUGCUGUCCAUCACAGCCAGUACACCUGCCAUGCUGCUAGUGGUUGCGUGCACCAACUGGGCGCCUGCCUCCCUGGGAUCCAGCUGCUUCAAAGUCCUGUAGAUUCUUCUAUUGAGUAGCUACCAGCCCACUCGAAGGUGGGGCCUACAGAGAACAGUGAUAUUAGACAUCUUCAAGGUUGCUGGGGCUCCAAUCCCUAAUCUGUUUCUCAAAAUGCUGGUGAAAUGUAUGUCUCCUGGAUGGUCCCAACGUGGAAAGAAGAAUAUUGGCUAAAUGUUCUAAUCCAUACAGGUGAAUGAAACCUCCAUGACUAGGGAAGGUAAAGAAGACACCUCUAAUACAGGGAAAGUAAGACGUGUCUUAAGAGGCGAAGAGUGUUUUUCCCUAAAGUGAAUGGAUGGUUGUUCCUGAAUGAGAAAGAAGACAAGAUAAGCACACUGCCAGAGAAACCAAGAUGUUGUGACUUCAAAUAAUUUCCUGUGCUUCUUAUUAUAUUUAUCAGCUGGAUGACGUCAUGUGAACUUCAAGAAAAUCACCGCAGAUCACAUGGACAGUUUCUGCUUGUUGCUGGACGGGCCACUCAGAAGCUCAUCUGGACACCAAUGCCACCACUGCAGAAAUUCAACCUGCAAACCAGGAAAUUCAGUGGAUUGCGCCUCUAUAUACACCCACCAUCUAAUGAUGCCUCAAGCUCAACAUCUAGAAAUAUCCUCAUCAAGUUUUCCUCUGGAAUUGGAAACUCGCUUUAAUAUCCAUCUUUGUUUCCCUUUGAUUUCCGCAGAAAUUCUUUCCAUUUAAUGUCCUGAUGGCUUGCACCAUACAGCACAUCCCCUGCUGCCAAGUCUUAACAGAGAAUUCAAAAGAUCCUAACGAACAAAAGCAAGGUGGAUGAUGAGG